AACUUAAUUCCUUCCCCUUUUUGAAGUAAAUCAUGCUAACAGCCCCUUUAUUUUAGGGUUUCCUUUAGCCUACCGCCUCCAACAUUAGAACUUCCAGAAUCCAGAAACCAUUUUUGCAGCCUCAAGAUUACCCCUCAUACUUCGAUCUCAAUGAAGCAAAGAAGAACCUGUAGCAAAUUUUGAAAAAGAACGGCCGUACGGAGGAACUUAGUGACGUGGAGGCUGAGCGCAAGGGUCUCUCGUGUGAGACCAACCCUGGUUCCGUUCCAGCUUGUUCCAGAAUCUUCUGGCAUUCACCAGAGGCUGAAACCAUUUUAGGUGUAUUGGGCCUCCGGUUUUGGGCUAAAUUUAGGAAUAGAAUUGGGUUUUAAAAUUUGUUGGGUUAUGAAUUAUUUUGGUACAUGCAUUGUAAAGGAACAUUACUGGACUAUUUAUUCUCUGGUUUUUAUUUAUUUAUUUGGGUUUAUUAUUUGCAAA